UUGACCUCGGAUCAGGUAGGGAUACCCGCUGAACUUAAGCAUAUCAAUAAGCGGAGGAAAAGAAACCAACAGGGAUUGCCCCAGUAACGGCGAGUGAAGCGGCAAAAGCUCAAAUUUGAAAUCUGGCUCCUUUCGGGGUCCGAGUUGUAAUUUGAAGAGGAUGCUUUGGGUGCGUCCGCGGCGUAAGUCCCUUGGAACAGGGCGUCAUAGAGGGUGAGAAUCCCGUCUUGAGUCGCCGGCGCGCGCCCGUUUAAAGCUCCUUCGACGAGUCGAGUUGUUUGGGAAUGCAGCUCUAAGUGGGUGGUAAAUUUCAUCUAAAGCUAAAUAUUGGCCGGAGACCGAUAGCGAACAAGUAGAGUGAUCGAAAGGUUAAAAGCACCUUGAAAAGGGAGUUAAAUAGCACGUGAAAUUGUUGAAAGGGAAGCGCUUGCAGCCAGACUCGGGUUCGGAGGCUCAGCGGGUAUUGUUAUGCCCGUGCACUCCUCCGCACCCGGGCCAGCAUCAGUUUUGGCGGCCGGUCAAAGGCCCCCGGAAUGUGUCGUCCUCCGGGACGUCUUAUAGCCGGGGGUGCAAUGCGGCCAGCCGGGACUGAGGAACGCGCUUCGGCACGGAUGCUGGCGUAAUGGCUGUAAGCGGCCCGUCUUGAAACACGGACCAAGGAGUCUAACAUCCACGCGAGUGUUCGGGUGUCAAACCCGUACGCGCAGUGAAAGCGAACGGAGGUGAGAGCCCCUUCGGGGGCGCAUCAUCGACCGAUCCUGAAGUCUUCGGAUGGAUUUGAGUAAGAGCGUGGCUGUUGGGACCCGAAAGAUGGUGAACUAUGCCUGAAUAGGGUGAAGCCAGGAGAAAUUCUGGUGGAGGCUCGCAGCGGUUCUGACGUGCAAAUCGAUCGUCAAAUUUGGGUAUAGGGGCGAAAGACUAAUCGAACCAUCUGGUAGCUGGUUCCUGCCGAAGUUUCCCUCAGGAUAGCAGUAACGUUUUCAGUUUUAUGAGGUAAAGCGAAUGAUUAGAGGCCUUGGGGUUGAAACAACCUUAACCUAUUCUCAAACUUUAAAUAUGUAAGAAGCUCUUGUUGCUUAAGUGAACGUGA
rnacentral:rRNA from 2 species